rnacentral:rRNA from 1 species
UAGGGAAUAUUGCUUAAUGGGCGAAAGCCNUGAAGCAGCAACGCCGCGUGUGCGAUGAAGGCCUUCGGGUUGUAAAGCACUUUUUGGAGGGAUGAGGAAGGACAGUACCUUCAGAAUAAGCCUCGGCUAACUACGUGCCAGCAGCCGCGGUAAAACGUGGAGGCGAGCGUUAUCCGGAUUUACUGGGCGUAAAGCGCGUGUAGGCGGCUCGACAAGUUGGAUGUGAAAGCUCCUGGCUUAACUGGGAGAGGUCGUUCAAAACUGUCGGGCUAGAGUAUGAGAGAGGGAGGUGGAAUUCCGGGUGUAGUGGUGAAAGUGCGUAGAUAUCCGGAGAACACCAGUGGCGAAAGCGGCCUCCUGGCUCAAAACCUGACGCUCAGACGCGAAAGCUAGGGUAGCAAA